GACGAACGCUGGCGGCGUGCUUAAUACAUGCAAGUAGAACACUGAAGAGAGGAGCUUGCUCUUCUUGGAUGAGUUGCGAACGGGUGAGUAACGCGUAGGUAACCUGCCUUGUAGCGGGGGAUAACUAUUGGAAACGAUAGCUAAUACCGCAUAACAAUGGAUGACACAUGUCAUUUAUUUGAAAGGGGCAAUUGCUCCACUACAAGAUGGACCUGCGUUGUAUUAGCUAGUAGGUGAGGUAACGGCUCACCUAGGCGACGAUACAUAGCCGACCUGAGAGGGUGAUCGGCCACACUGGGACUGAGACACGGCCCAGACUCCUACGGGAGGCAGCAGUAGGGAAUCUUCGGCAAUGGGGGCAACCCUGACCGAGCAACGCCGCGUGAGUGAAGAAGGUUUUCGGAUCGUAAAGCUCUGUUGUAAGUCAAGAACGAGUGUGAGAGUGGAAAGUUCACACUGUGACGGUAGCUUACCAGAAAGGGACGGCUAACUACGUGCCAGCAGCCGCGGUAAUACGUAGGUCCCGAGCGUUGUCCGGAUUUAUUGGGCGUAAAGCGAGCGCAGGCGGUUUGAUAAGUCUGAAGUUAAAGGCUGUGGCUCAACCAUAGUUUGCUUUGGAAACUGUCAAACUUGAGUGCAGAAGGGGAGAGUGGAAUUCCAUGUGUAGCGGUGAAAUGCGUAGAUAUAUGGAGGAACACCGGUGGCGAAAGCGGCUCUCUGGUCUGUAACUGACGCUGAGGCUCGAAAGCGUGGGGAGCGAACAGGAUUAGAUACCCUGGUAGUCCACGCCGUAAACGAUGAGUGCUAGGUGUUGGAUCCUUUCCGGGAUUCAGUGCCGCAGCUAACGCAUUAAGCACUCCGCCUGGGGAGUACGACCGCAAGGUUGAAACUCAAAGGAAUUGACGGGGGCCCGCACAAGCGGUGGAGCAUGUGGUUUAAUUCGAAGCAACGCGAAGAACCUUACCAGGUCUUGACAUCCAGUGCAAACCUAAGAGAUUAGGAGUUCCCUUCGGGGACGCUGAGACAGGUGGUGCAUGGCUGUCGUCAGCUCGUGUCGUGAGAUGUUGGGUUAAGUCCCGCAACGAGCGCAACCCUUGUCAUUAGUUACCAUCAUUAAGUUGGGCACUCUAAUGAGACUGCCGGUGACAAACCGGAGGAAGGUGGGGAUGACGUCAAGUCAUCAUGCCCCUUAUGACCUGGGCUACACACGUGCUACAAUGGACGGUACAACGAGAAGCGAACCUGCGAAGGCAAGCGGAUCUCUGAAAGCCGUUCUCAGUUCGGACUGUAGGCUGCAACUCGCCUACACGAAGCUGGAAUCGCUAGUAAUCGCGGAUCAGCACGCCGCGGUGAAUACGUUCCCGGGCCU
rnacentral:rRNA from 1 species